AGAAAAUCCACCCAGCUUCGCCAUCGCUGUGACAGCUGAGGCUGGAGAAAAUGAUGAAACUGUCCAACUACCCUCAAGUUUACAUACAGUGAAAAAUACCCAGAUGAAGCUCCUCUUUAUGAAAUAGUCUCCCAGGAAAACCUAGAAGAUAAUGACGUCACAAACAUUUAAAAAUUAUUAGCAUUACAGGCUGAGGAAAAUCUUGGUGUGGUCAUGAUCUUUACUCUAGUGACAGCAGUGCAAGAAAAAUUAAAGGAAAUAGUAGAUCAGAUUAAAAACGAGAAGAGAGGAAGAGAAGAAACUAAAAGAAAAAGAAGCAGAAGAAGCAGAGAAGCAAUUAUUCCACGGUACCCCUGUUACAAUUGAGAAUUUCUUAUGUUGGAAAGCCAAGUUUGACGCAGAACUCUUGGAAAUUAAAAAGAAACGGAUAAAGGCCGGAGAUUUAGCUCAGUGGUUUCGCCGCCUGCUGCGCAAGCACAAGGACCCUAGUUCAAUCCCCGGUACCAAAAACAAAAAACAAACAAACAAAAAAAAAAAAACGGAUAAAAGAAGAAGAGCAAGCAAGAAAAAAUAAAUUAAGUGGCAAACAGCUGUUUGAAACCCAUCAUAAUCUUGACACAUCUGAUAUCCACUUCUUGGAGGAUGCUGGAAAUAAUGUGGAAGUAGAUGAGUCUUUGUUCCAGGAACUGGAUGACUUGGAGCUGGAGGAUGUUGAGGACGACCCAGACUACAACCCUGCUGGCCCAGGGAGUGACUCAGAGGGCUGAUGCACCAUCUCCGGAGAGCUCCACAGCCACAGCAUCUGUGGCUGUGCUGAGAGGCUUUUUCUUUUUUUUCUAAGAAAAAACUCUCAGGAGAAUAUUCUUCUGAUAACUUUCACCAUUGAACUUAAUAAACUGACCAUAAAACUUCAAAAAAAAUAUUAUGAUCACUCAUUCAGGCAGUUAAAUGCCUUGGAGUGAAUUUGAAUCUUAAAUUCAUAUAUGAAGCUCAGAGGAACAUCUAAGGAAUUUAUCUGCAGUUAAUCUCUUGGUUGGGAAAAAUUAGUAAUUGAAAAGAUUCUCCCAAUCUCUGAUCUCUUUAGGAACUUUGAGAGACUCCACUAACUUUACAAGUCACUAUUUAGACCACUGGCAGAGUAACAGAUAAAGUUGGUGCAAUGGGUAAAUUCUACCUGUACUUCUGCAAGGCUGCCUGUUGGGUCUUCACUGAAUUCUUUCAUGAAUGACACAAAGAACUGAGGACCAAGGAGUGAGGACCUGGCUUCCCAGUGACAAGUGUACAACACAGAUUUCUUUUGAAAUCUGUUCGAAGUUGUGCACUUUAAAGUGUAGGAGAGAAAAAUAUUUUGCCUUCUACCACCCCCAGAUUCAAUGACUGGGGCCCACAGAUCAAAUUGAUAAAAGACAUACUGAC
rnacentral:lncRNA from 1 species